rnacentral:rRNA from 1 species
UUAAGCAUAUCAGUAAGCAGAGGAAAAGAAAACAACUGUGAUUCCCUUAGUACCUGCGAGUCAAGCGGGAUAAGCCCAUCGUUUAAUCUUCCCGGACUAUGGACGGGACGAAAUGUAACGGUAUGGAUAGGUUCUCUACCAACACUGGUGGCUGGUCAAAGUCCUCCGGAUUGAGGUGCCAAAGAGGGUGACAGCCCCGUGUGUGACUGGACAGUGUUGGGUAUGUGACCGAUUCCGAGAGUCGGGUUGUUUGGGACUGCAACCUAAAGUAGGUGGUAAACUCCACCCAAGGCUAAAUAUUGACACGAAACCGAUAGCGAACAAGUACUGUGAAGGAAAGUUGAAAAGAACUCUGAAAAGAGAGUUAAAAGUACGUGAAACCGCUAACGGGGAAGCGGAAGGCAGUGUCGAGAUUGAGUGAGUGAGUUGUGUCAAAUCUUUUGAAUGAGUGUGAGGAGGGUUUGGCGCGGCUAGCUUUGCUUGAUGCGUCAGGACUAUUGGUGUGCGAUGGCUCAAUUGUCGGUUCGGCUUCGGCGACACCCAGACUCA